GUGCUCGCUUUGGCAGCACAUAUACUAAAAUUGGCACGAUACAGAGAAGAUUAGCACGGCACCUGCACAAGGAUAACACGUAAAUUCGUGAAGUGUUUUUUUUUUAA
ensembl:snRNA U6 U6 spliceosomal RNA